UACGUAGGGGUCGAGCGUUGUCCGGAGUUACUGGGCGUAAAGCGUGUGCAGGCGGCUCAUUGCGCCCGGCGUGAAAGCCCCCGGCUCAACCGGGGAGGGUCGUCGGGGACGGGUGAGCUUGAGGGUAUCGAGGGGCAGGUAGAAUUCCCGGUGUAGUGGUGGAAAUGCGUAGAGAUCGGGAGGAAUACCCGUGGCGAAGG
rnacentral:rRNA from 1 species